CAGCCGUAAACUAUGCGCGUUAGGUGUAUCGGUGACCACGAGUUACCGAGGUGCCGAAGGGAAACCGUGAAACGUGCCGCCUGGGAAGCACGGUCGCAAGGCUGAAACUUAAAGGAAUUGGCGGGGGAGCACCACAACAGGUGGAGCCUGCGGUUUAAUUGGACUCAACGCCGGGAAGCUCACCGGAUAGGACAGCAGAAUGAUUGCCGGGCUGAAGACCCUGCAUGACUAGCUGAGAGGUGGUGCAUGGCGUCAGUGACU
rnacentral:rRNA from 1 species